GACGAACGCUGGCGGCGUGGAUUAGGCAUGCAAGUCGAACGGUAUCAUCCUUUCGGGGGUGAGAGAGUGGCGAACUGGUGAGUAACACGUAGGUUAUCUACCCUCAAGACGGGGACAACCCAGGGAAACUUGGGCUAAUACCGGAUGUGAGCAACUUUUAGUUGUUUGAAAGGUGGCGUAAGCUGUCGCUUGGGGAUGAGCCUGCGUCCUAUUAGUUAGUUGGUGAGGUAACGGCUCACCUAGGCAAUGAUAGGUAGGCGGCCUUAACGGGUGGUCGCCCACACUGGGAUUGAGAUACGGCCCAGACUCCUACGGGAGGCAGCAGUCGAGAAUAGUCUACAAUGGUCGGAAGACUGAUAGUGCGACGCCGCGUGAACGAUGAAUCCCUUCGGGGUGUAAAGUUCUUUUAUAUGUGAGCAGUGCUUCUUAUAUUAACAGUAGUGGGGAGAGAGAUAUUAGCAUAUGAAUAAGCAACGGCUAACUCCGUGCCAGCAGCCGACGGUAAACUCGU
rnacentral:rRNA from 1 species